rnacentral:rRNA from 1 species
GGGUGAGUCGCUCCUAAGCGGAAGGCAAAUGCUCUUGAAUGUAAGUUUUUCACAAAAUUUCAUACCGCAAAAGGGAAUUUGGUUAAAAUUCCAAAACGACGUCAAUUGUGGGAGAUUGCGCGGCAACGCAACGAGACUGCGACACGGUGGAAUGGGAACUGAAAAGAGUCCUCUUUUCUUUUUAACGAUUUC